AUACGUAGGGUCCGAGCGGUUGUCCGGAAUUACUGGGCGUAAAGAGCUCGUAGGUGGUUUGUCGCGUUGUCCGUGAAAACUCACAGCUCAACUGUGGGCGUGCGGGCGAUACGGGCAGACUGGAGUACUGCAGGGGAGACUGGAAUUCCUGGUGUAGCGGUGGAAUGCGCAGAUAUCAGGAGGAACACCGGUGGCGAAGGCGGGUCUCUGGGCAGUAACUGACGCUGAGGAGCGAAAGCGUGGGGAGC
rnacentral:rRNA from 1 species